rnacentral:rRNA from 1 species
CUCUGGUGUACCGGUUGUCACGCCAGUGGCAUCGCCGGGUAGCUAUGUUCGGAAGAGAUAACCGCUGAAAGCAUCUAAGCGGGAAACUCGCCUUGAGAUGAGAUAUCCCUGGGAACUUGAUUCCCCUGAAGGGUCGUUCGAGACCAGGACGUUGAUAGGCUGGGUGUGGAAGCGCAGUAAUGCGUUAAGCUAACCAGUACUAAUUGCCCGUGAGGCUUGAUCCU